UUAAUUUUCAUGCCUAACCCGUCUUUAUUUCUUUUUGUUAGUCAAAUCGUCCAAAUUCUAAAGGGAUAUAUUUCUUUUUGAAAAAUAAAGAGAUGCAUUCAGCUGAAUGGGUUUUGAAUUCAUUAUCUGAUUUUCAAUCUUCUCACUAGAUUAAUUCAUUCUCUGGUUUUAAUUGGGCUUCCACUCAUAACUUUUUUUAGCAUUUUUUCAUGAGUGGAAAUCUAAUUAAUGCAAGUUCAUAAUGAGGAGAGGUUACAAAUCCUACAUCCGUCGGAUAUCUAUGGAUGAGAUGACAUUGGGAUGGUCGGAUGCAACGUUUGUCUCUUAAAAUGUUAUCCGACCGUCCAAGGCUCAAAAACUCAUUUUGUUUUGUGUUAUAGAAUGUUAACUAUAAUUGAUUAAUUAGUAAUGUUAACGAUUGAUUAAAGUCAAGUUACUAGUAUUAAAUUAGUAGAACGAUCAGAUUUGUGUGAGAGAGUUGGGGGUUUUGAGAGGAAAAAGUGAAGAAAAAACUUGGUUUUUGUGAUCCAAAAUGUGUGAUUCAAAUGAUGAACGAGGAUCUUUUGAUAGAUGGUCAUAACUCCAUCUGGGUUCGAAUCCUACUGAGAGGUCCACUAAAGAUCAUAAAUUGUUGAAGCUGGAUUUGGCUCAUAAAAAUCACCAUCUUGAGGUUGAGAUUGAGCAAAAUUAUCCUCAUAAUCGAAAAAGGUUACUAGCACGUUCUACACCGAGCCACAAUUGAUCAUAUGGGUGUAAUUUUUUCAUAAAAUAUCUGAAAGUAAUUCGACAGAAAUUUCCUAACAUGUGACCAAUUAAAAUUGGUGUCUUUGUCUAUUAGACAAGAAUCAUGUGAUUUACCCGUAUGGUUUCUAUUUCCCUUAUAAGAAACCAUUUGUCAACCGUAAUACAAACUCAACAAAGUGAAGUAGAAAUAAUUGUGGAAAUAUCUCAAAAGAGCUUGAGGAAGAGAAUAAGAAUCUUGGUGAUGUGCACGCAAAAUCUCACCUAACAGGCAUUAUAGAAGAAGAAAUAGUUGUUUCCAACAAGGUCGAGUCGUUAAUAUAACGAAGAAAGCUUUCUUGGCAGCAAAGAAAUCAUUCUAAACUUUUCCAUUUUGCAGUGCUUCAUCGUCGCGCUAAGAUUGUUUUUCUUGCUAUUAAAGAUUUCUCAUGGAAACCGGACUUCUGAUUGUAGUAAAAUUAAGCAUAAUGUUAUUUUCUAUAAUCAUGGAUUUUUUUUAAAGAUAAUACAAUAUCUUUGUAGUCUUUUUCUUUCGGCAGGUCAACGUCCAUAUCUUCAAGCCAGUGCAGGAGCUUGGGUGAUGUUCCAUCAUUAAAAUAAACACGGUCCACUAUCAAGUCUAUGAGCGAUUUUAGUGCACCAGGUUCAUUUGGGUAUCCAGUAUAUUUCUAUAAUAGAUUUUUGGAAAUCGUCGGACCCAAUCUCAAAAACUACAUUUAGGAUUGUUUUAGAUAUGGCUAUCUUCUCUUGGAAUGAAUCAUACGCAUCUUACUCUCGUCCCACAGGUAAUGAGAGUGAAUAUGACGGCUACAGCGGACCUCUAGAGUUACAAGAACAAGUUUUUCAUGUCAGUGAAUUUUGAACAGUGGGUACAGUUUGUACGUCUAUACAACCUGAUCAACAUAGAUGUAUCAUAAGAGCUUUGGAAAUAGCUGAAGCAUAUAAGACUACGUCAGACCUUCCGUUUACGUCAGAAGUUAUUGACGAGUUUACGAGAGAAGGGUAUAGACUAUGGAAUUUCCAACUCUAUUCCCGAACGGUAUUGCAGAUUUGAGACAAUCAAGGCUUCAAAAGGUUAGUGACUAUCAACACUUUCAACACCUAAUGAAGUAUCGUGAUGGACGUUUCGCCAAAGACUCUAGAUUUCGCUAUUUUGUAUUGAACUCGUUAACUAGGUGGCGUGCCUUGUCAUUGGGGUAUGUUUAUGUCAAGAAUCAUCCAUAAGAUGGUGAACUAUCGAUUCAAUCUAUUCCAGACAUGGUUUCUUCUAAGGAUAGUCGAUUAAUAUCACGUGUUUCUUAUUGUGCAAAGAAAAUACGAGGUACUCGAGCUUAUUGGUAUACUAGAUUGAAGGAGAUCUUAGCAAUGGUCACACAAUUUGGGCCACUCACAAUCUUCUUCACCCUUAGUGCCGCAGAUUUGCAAUGGCCGUAACUAUACGCAUUCCUUGACCCAAUAGGUAAGUCUUCAAAUCCUUAUUUCCUGGCUACUACUACUCCAUUGUAAUGUGCAGUUAUGUCCUAUACUAGUCUGAAAGUUCAUAAUACAACAGAUCUCAACUAAAUGUCAAACAUGAGUAUGACA